CUGCUCUGACCUCAAAAAAUGAAUUGUAGGCGGCUCGCGGGCCUUGGGCUUCCCCGGAAGCAUGAGCCCUCUCGCCCGCAGCCGCCGACGGACGGUGUGCGCCGGGCCCCGGGUGCGCAGCCUCAGGAUCCCCAGCGCCCGCAGCUCGGGCGCUCGCGGCAGGCGAUCUCUGGGUGACCACGUCUGCGAGGGACUUUGCUAUCCGUCUGCCAGGACCUGGGGAGAAAGAACCGCCAGCUCCCUAUCCCUUCCCCCUCUGCCAGCAUUUCGGGCACCCUGCAGGGACUCAUUUUGGGGUUCCCACUGACUUCCAGGAAGGACGGGAGUCCUUCUGUGACCCGAGCUCGGGCCGCCACCUGUCUUUGCCGCAGUGACCCUUCUCCCAUGACCCUGCGGUGCCUUGAGUCCUCCGGGAAUGGCGCGGAAGGCACGCGGAGCCAGUGGGGGACCGCGGGGUCAGCAGAGGAGCCCUCCCUGGAGGCGGCGCGUCUGGCGAAGGCCUUGCGGGAGCUCGGGCAAACAGGAUGGUACUGGGGAAGUAUGACUGUUAAUGAAGCCAAAGAGAAAUUAAAAGAGGCACCAGAAGGAACUUUCUUGAUUAGAGAUAGCUCGCACUCAGACUACCUACUAACAAUAUCUGUUAAAACAUCAGCCGGACCAACUAAUCUGCGGAUUGAAUAUCAAGAUGGGAAAUUCAGAUUGGACUCUAUCAUAUGUGUCAAGUCCAAGCUUAAACAAUUUGACAGUGUGGUUCAUCUGAUCGACUACUAUGUUCAGAUGUGCAAGGAUAAGCGGACCGGCCCAGAAGCCCCCCGGAAUGGCACUGUUCACCUUUACCUGACCAAACCGCUCUACACGUCAGCGCCACCUCUGCAGCAUCUCUGUAGACUCACCAUUAACAAAUGCACCGGCACCAUCUGGGGAUUGCCUUUACCAACAAGACUAAAAGAUUACUUGGAAGAAUAUAAAUUCCAGGUAUAAGCGUUUCUCUUUUUCUAAACAUGCCUCACGUAGAGUAUCUCCGAAUGCAACUAUAUGUAAAAGAGAACCAAAACUUGAGUGGACUGCUCUGGAUGACUACACGGAAUCCUUUCUAAGAACAGCUGAAGUCAAUCUAAUUUAAAUGUGUCCGAGGUAGCUAGGUAUUUAAAGCCCCCCCUUCCCCUCCCCAGAUAUUUUCACCAGAGGGAUGUUUCCCUUCCUAAGGUGGACUGAGACCAGUUGUUGUUUUAAAUGAAAAAUAAAAUGUCCCAAGUCAAGGCUGAAGGAGCAUUUAUCAGAAUGCCUUGCCUUCCUGAGGUUCCUUUCCAUUAGGUCAAAGGUCCAAGCUCUAGUAGUAAAGAGCUGCACCUAGCAGUACUGAAGAAGUGGAAGGAACUAAGCUGACACAGGCGUAACUUCAAUUUUAUGUGCUUGGUGAUCAGAAUCUACUUUAGGACAGUUUAUAUUUUGCAUUCUGAUGUACCUAGGAGUUUUGUUAAACAGAUCAUGUGUGUGAGUAUUUAUCCUUUAUUUUAUGCAAUUAACCAAAUCAACCAAAAAAGUGACCACGAAAUCCUGUAUUUGUCUUUUUACUACAUGUAUGAACUCUCUCAUGUGAAUGAGUACUGUAGUAAUCCAUUUUAAGGGAGCCUUACUUCAGAAAUAUUUCAAACUGGUGCAAAUAGAAAAGACUUUUUUCUUUUCCUUUAAGGCUAAAGACAAGAAUGUCAUGCUAUACAGGUGCAACUCAAUAUUUGUUAAUAAAAACCAGUGUAGAUAUAGACAUUUUACCAUUUAAAGUAGCUGUGUCCCAACCUGUAGCCAUUCAUUUUUUGGAAAUGGCUUUAGAAAUUUCCAGGUUGCUCUUGAAUUGUCUAACCACAGACAUUAGCAGAUGUCUUCCUUCUACCAUGUAGAAUACUUUGACUUAAUUUUCUUCCAGAUAUAGGGGAUACCUGCCUGUUUUUCCAAGUGUUUAUUUACUGCUGUUAUUAUCUGAUUAGAAUGUAUUAAAUAAAAAAACUUGACUUUAAAAAAAAAUGAAUUGUAAAAGGGUAAGGUUCAACUGACAACUGAACUUAGGUUCAGUAAAACAACUGAAUACC